GACGAACGCUGGCGGCGUGCUUAACACAUGCAAGUCGAACGGGAGUAUUGAAGAAGCUUGCUUUAGAGAUACUUUAGUGGCGGACGGGUGAGUAACGCGUGAGGAGCCGUCCUAUGCAGGGGGACAACAGCUGGAAACGGCUGCUAAUACCCCAUAAGCCGAGAGGUAAAAGGAUCAAUCCGGCAGAGGAGGUACUCGCGUCCUAUCAGCUAGUAGGUGAGGUAACGGCUCACCUAGGCGAAGACGGGUAGCCGGCCUGAGAGGGCGAACGGCCACACUGGAACUGAGAUACGGUCCAGACUCCUACGGGAGGCAGCAGUGGGGAAUAUUGGGCAAUGGGGGAAACCCUGACCCAGCGACGCCGCGUGGGUGAAGAAAUCCUUCGGGAUGUAAAGCCCUGUUGUAUGGGAAGAGCGGAAGACGGUACCAUACGAGGAAGCCCCGGCAAACUACGUG
rnacentral:rRNA from 1 species